rnacentral:rRNA from 1 species
UACGGGGGGAGCAAGCGUUGUUCGGAUUUACUGGGCGUAAAGGGCGCGUAGGCGGAUAGUUUAGUCAGAGGUGAAAGCCCAGGGCUCAACCUUGGAAUUGCCUUCGAUACUGUUAGGCUUGAGACCGGAAGAGGUGAGUGGAACUGCGAGUGUAGAGGUGAAAUUCGUAGAUAUUCGCAAGAACACCAGUGGCGAAGGCGGCUUACUGGUCCGGUUCUGACGCUGAGGCGCGAAAGCGUGGGGAGCAAACAGG